rnacentral:tRNA from 3 species
GGGCGAUUAGCUCAGCGGAAGUAGCGCUUCCUUCACACGGAAGAGGUCACUGGUUCGAACCCAGUAUCGCCCACCA